rnacentral:lncRNA from 1 species
AAGACAGCCACCUCGCCAAGAUCGUGUCUCCCCUUUCUGAGGAAGCCCAGAGCUGAUGACUGGCCAUAUGGAUAUAAAACGCACAACCCCCUCAGGGGAACUCCGACUCGGGCAUCUCUGAAGGACUAUGGGGUCCAGUGCAGCACAGAGUGGGACAUUACUUUCUGCUGGGAAGACCCACUUCCCAAUCAAGGGAGCAUUUGGUCUGAGUCCUGAAGGGUGGUUGGUUAAGUGGCAAAUACGCAGAGCUGGAGAAUGAAGGAUUUUUUUUUUUAAUACUUUAAGUUCUAGGAUACACGCGCACAAUGUGCAGGCUCAGCUUUCUCAUCACUGAACUGGAGAUACAGGUAAUAGUAAUAUCUACCCCUGGAGGUAUUUUUAAAUACUUCCACAGUACCUGACACGUGGUAAGUUUUAACAAUGCUGAUGGAGGAAACAUUUGGAUGUUUCCAGCCAAAUUGGAGGAAUCAACGAGUCUUGUCUACUGAUUAGAUAUAGAGGUCGGAAGAUGGAGGAUGGAGGUGAAGCCAAGAUGGCUCUAGGUAUCUGGCCUGAGCAAGAGAACUGACAACAGUUGGUAUUUGGGUUUGACUUGAAGGCAACUGUGGGCCAUCUAGAUGGAGAGAGGUACAGUGGCAUCUUGGAAUUUCUAAAAUAAAAUACAU